GCACAGGUGCUGCAUGGCUGUCGGUUCAGCUCGUGUCGUGAGAUGUUCGGUUUAAGUCCCGCAACGAGCGCAACCCUCGACCUUAGUUGCCAGCAUUCAGUUGGGCACUCUAAGGUGACUGCGGCUAAAAGUCGGAGGAAGUGGGGAUGACGUCAAAUCAUCAUGCCCUUAUGACCUGGGCUACACACGUGCUACAAUGGGCGGUACAAAGGGUCGCGAACCCGCGAGGGGGAGCCAAUCCCAAAAAGCCGCUCUCAGUUCGGAUUGCAGGCUGCAACUCGCCUGCAUGAAGCCGGAAUCGCUAGUAAUCGCGGAUCAGCAUGCCGCGGUGAAUACGUUCCCGGGCCUU
rnacentral:rRNA from 1 species